rnacentral:misc_RNA from 1 species
UCUUUCUCUCUCUAGAAUGCCUCAAGUUGAUUUGGAAACUCUAGUUUCGGCAUGUGCCGGCGGCGGGAGUGACCGGAAAGUUGCAUGUGAGACUUUGGCUGACAGUGACGGCGACGGCGAAAAACGUGUGAAAGACGAUUUGGAUGACGAGGAGAAGCAAUCGGAGCAUCCGCCUGAUUUUCCGCCGGAAUCGUUCUGGCUUUCGAAAGAUGCUGAGUUCGAUUGGUUUGAUCGGAAUGCCUUUUUGGACCGGAAACAGUCUACGAAAGGUAUCGGUCAUAAUCCAGGUUCGAAUUCGAGUUCGCAGAGAUUUUCGUCGACUUUGAAAAGUAAGGCUUCGAUUAUCG